rnacentral:sRNA from 1 species
GCUGGGUGCGGUGGCGCAUGCCUGUAAUCCCAGCGGCUCAGGAGGCUGAGACAGGAGAAUCGUUGAGUUCAAAGCCAGCCUCAGCAAAAGCAAGGUGCUAAGAAACUCAGUGAGACCCUGUCUCUA